rnacentral:rRNA from 1 species
GCGAAAGCGUAGCUAAUACCGCAUACGCCCUACGGGGGAAAGCAGGGGAUCGCAAGACCUUGCACUAUUAGAGCGGCCGAUAUCGGAUUAGCUAGUUGGUGGGGUAACGGCUCACCAAGGCGACGAUCCGUAGCUGGUUUGAGAGGACGACCAGCCACACUGGGACUGAGACACGGCCCAGACUCCUACGGGAGGCAGCAGUGGGGAAUUUUGGACAAUGGGGGAAACCCUGAUCCAGCCAUCCCGCGUGUGCGAUGAAGGCCUGUGGGUUGUAAAGCACUUUUGGCAGGAAAGAAACGUCAUGGGCUAAUACCCCGUGAAACUGACGGUACCUGCAGAAUAAGCACCGGCUAACUACGUGCCAGCAGCCGCGGUAAUACGUAGGGUGCAAGCGUUAAUCGGAAUUACUGGGCGUAAAGCGUGCGCAGGCGGUUCGGAAAGAAAGAUGUGAAAUCCCAGAGCUUAACUUUGGAACUGCAUUUUUAACUACCGAGCUAGAGUGUGUCAGAGGGAGGUGGAAUUCCGCG